rnacentral:lncRNA from 1 species
UGAAAGGACUGAUCUGUCAAAUCGGGGCCUGGAGUUCAGCUCCUGCUCUACUCCUUCCCAACUGUGGAGCUUAGGAAAGUUGCUGAAACCUGGGACCUCCCCGUCCUCCGCUGUCAGCCAGAGGUCCCUGCUGCUUCGUGCUGCUGCCCUGAGAAUUCACCGACAGUGCACGCAAAGCCCCUAAGAUUGUGCCUGAUACUCAGUAAGCAAGCAGGGUCUGUUCCUUAUCACGGUUAGGUUUUCUACCAUGAACGUUUAUAUUCCUGCCAAUUAUACCCAAGAAAAUUGUGGAGAAAGUGUUAAAAGUUAAGAGAAGGAAAGCAAAUACAUCCCUGGGUGGCUGGGAUGGUGCUGUGGGGCUGCGUAGGGGGAUGGCCAGCACUAGUGACCAGCUGCUACGUCCAUUGAUUGAGGGUUAGAACGUUCCAUAGCCAGACUGAUCCUGCAGAAACACAGACACACACACAUACACACAGUUAAGCCCCAGAUGCCAGGGAGACUGGAGUGCCCUCUGCUUAGGUCUACUGUCCAAAGAGAGAAAGCCUAGGCCUUGGACACCUGUCUAGGUUGUAAAAACCCAGACACAUGGGACUCUCUGACUCUUGGAGCAAUUUUACGUUCAAAAAGAUCAAGGUUAGAAGCCAGGGUCCUUUCCGUCCCAUUUCCAAGGAGCAAAAGUCGCUCUUCCUCCUUUCUGGAUGAAGAGAGAGAGAUACAGCUACUCCUGUCCUGUGCAUAAGCAGAGGAAAUCCUUUGUUUUCCAUCCCUCAUCUUCGAGGUGUAGGGAGCGCUCAUGUAGAAAGUCCCCAUAGGCUUUCAUCACCUUGCCCCAGGUCUGGGUGUGGGGGCCGAUGGGGCAGCGUCACUGGCUGUUGGUCUGGUGUGAGUGCCAGUAACAGAGCUGCCUCGUGUUUUUGCAGCAUUCACAUGCGUAAAGUACAUAACCGUGCAAGCAGGCAACAUCCGGACCCUGCAUGGUUUGACAAACCGGCCAUGUAGCUGAGCACAUCACGGUGCCCAGAGAAACCCAUGUCCCAUCUCUGUGACAAGGAACAAGGGAGCAAGGUUGACGACACAGCCCAUGAGGGACAUUGGCAGGACCAGGAAGCUCCAGGCAGCCUCAUCCAGUGCUCCUUCUUUUAGCAAAGACCCCCCAAACAUGAAUAAACAGCUAAUUUUUUACAAAUUGUAGCUGGAUCCUUUUAUAGAAGAGUACACUCCUAAUGAAAGGACUCUGUCCCAAGCUGUUCCUGAAAGAAAUGGAGAAUGUUGGCGUCUCCUGGCAUUUCCGCUUCUGAUCAGCCUCAUCUGAGAAUUUAAUCCAUUUUCUGAUCAAAGUCCAAAGUCUCUGUUUUGCUCGAGCUUUAAUCAUUGGCUGUAAAGACUCCCUGCUAUUGCACACACAUAUUAAAAUCAGGUUACAGCCAAACAGUGAUUUGGUUCUGAGGGCUGGGGGGUUGGGUAAGGAAUACACAUCUAAAUAAGCAAUGGGUACUCCCAGGUCUCAGGUAAAAGUUAACAAUGUUUUCAGCAUAUUGGGAAUAUUUUAUCCUAUAUGCUGAAUUUUCUGUAGGCUGAAUGCUAUAUGUGAAUUGUUGAAAUGGCCCUGACCUGUGUUUUCUGUUAUUUUUUUAACACUUAAGCAAAA